rnacentral:rRNA from 1 species
GAUCAUGGCUCAGAUUGAACGCUGGCGGCAUGCCUUACACAUGCAAGUCGAACGGUAGAGGGGCAACCCUCGAGAGUGGCGAACGGGUGAGUAAUGCAUCGGAACGUACCCAGUUGUGGGGGAUAGCUCGGCGAAAGCCGGAUUAAUACCGCAUACGCCCUGAGGGGGGAAAGCGGGGGACUCGCAAGAGCCUCGCGCAAUUGGAGCGGCCGAUGUCAGAUUAGCUAGUUGGUGGGGUAAAAGCCUACCAAGGCGACGAUCUGUAGCUGGUCUGAGAGGAUGACCAGCCACACUGGGACUGAGACACGGUCCAGACUCCUACGGGAGGCAGCAGUGGGGAAUUUUGGACAAUGGGCGCAAGCCUGAUCCAGCAAUGCCGCGUGCAGGAAGAAGGCCUUCGGGUUGUAAACUGCUUUUGUACGGAACGAAACGGCUCUGGUUAAUACCUGGGGCUAAUGACGGUACCGUAAGAAUAAGCACCGGCUAACUACGUG